AGUCCCUUUUAAAUUUGGUCCAGAGAGGCUAACAAAGGGUCUAGUUAGUUGCUGCCUUCUUAAGCAACGCACUCGGACUCUUUGUGUAAAAUCACAAAGAGUUUUUUUAUU
rfam:Bacillus sp. FJAT-25509 scaffold2, whole genome shotgun sequence.